rnacentral:rRNA from 1 species
GAAACCAACAGGGAUUGCCUUAGUAGCGGCGAGUGAAGCGGCAAAAGCUCAAAUUUGAAAUCUGGCACUUUCAGUGUCCGAGUUGUAAUUUGAAGAAGGUAUCUUUGGGUCUGGCUCUUGUCUAUGUUUCUUGGAACAGAACGUCACAGAGGGUGAGAAUCCCGUGCGAUGAGAUGUCCCAGACCUAUGUAAAGUUCCUUCGAAGAGUCGAGUUGUUUGGGAAUGCAGCUCUAAGUGGGUGGUAAAUUCCAUCUAAAGCUAAAUAUUGGCGAGAGACCGAUAGCGAACAAGUACAGUGAUGGAAAGAUGAAAAGAACUUUGAAAAGAGAGUGAAAAAGUACGUGAAAUUGUUGAAAGGGAAGGGCUUGAGAUCAGACUUGGUAUUUUGUAUGUUACUCUCUCGGGGGUGGCCUCUACAGUUUACCGGGCCAGCAUCAGUUUGAGCGGUAGGAUAAGUGCAAAGAAAUGUGGCACUGCUUCGGUAGUGUGUUAUAGUCUUUGUCGAUACUGCCAGCUUAGACUGAGGACUGCGGCUUCGGCCUAGGAUGUUGGCAUAAUGAUCUUAAGUCGCCCGUC